CAGUCGCCACGGGAAUACGUAGGGUGCGAGCGUUAAUCGGAAUUACUGGGCGUAAAGCGUGCGCAGGCGGUUUUGUAGGACAGGCGUGAAAUCCCCGGGCUCAACCUGGGAAUGGCGCUUGUGACUGCAAAGCUAGAGUGCGGCAGAGGGGGAUGGAAUUCCGCGUGUAGCAGUGAAAUGCGUAGAUAUGCGGAGGAACACCGAUGGCGAAGGCAAUCCCCUGGGCCUGCACUGACGCUCAUGCACGAAAGCGUGGGGAGCAAACAGGAUUAGAUACCCCUGUAGUCCCUGUCUCUUAUAC
rnacentral:rRNA from 1 species